rnacentral:lncRNA from 1 species
GAACAUUUAUUUGUCUUGAAAGCAACGGAGUAACAUUGCAUGAUUUCAAACAUAAAAUGACAUGCUGAUUUUUUUUUUAAAAAGAGAGCACUUUGUUGUUUAUGUAGAAAAGGCUUGGAGAGUGUGAUUACUGGAAGCUGGUUUUAGGUGCUACCAUCAUCUAGGCAAGAGAAACUGAAGACACACAUUAAGACUACAGCAAAGGCACUGGAAAAGCAACUCAGAUUGUGAAGAUCCCGGUGUUACACAUCCAAUCGUUCACCUCCUUCCAAGACUAUGACAUUCCAGGAAACCUUCACUGCUAAGAGGAACUAAGAUCUAGAGUAUCUCCUCGAGGAAGUACAACUGGAUUCUCCCUCCUUGGUUCUUCCCUGGACCAAGGACAGAAGAAUCAUUCAACACAGAGGCUAUUGACAAAAGGGGCAUAUU